rnacentral:rRNA from 1 species
UGGCUCAGGAUGAACGCUAGCGGCAGGCUUAAUACAUGCAAGUCGUGGGGCAGCUAGGUUGUAGCAAUACAGAUGCUGGCGACCGGCAAACGGGUGCGGAACACGUACAGAACCUUCCUUUGAGCGGGGAAUAGCCCAGAGAAAUUUGGAUUAAUACCCCAUAGUAUAAUGAAGUGGCAUCACUUUAUUAUUAAAGAUUUAUCACUCGAAGAUGGCUGUGCGGCUGAUUAGGUAGUUGGCGGGGUAAAGGCCCACCAAGCCUGCGAUCAGUAACUGGUGUGAGAGCACGACCAGUCACACGGGCACUGAGACACGGGCCCGACUCCUACGGGAGGCAGCAGUAAGGAAUAUUGGUCAAUGGAGGCAACUCUGAACCAGCCAUGCCGCGUGGAGGAUGAAGGUCCUCUGGAUUGUAAACUUCUUUUAUAUGGGACGAAAAAGGCUUUUCUAAGUCGUCUGACGGUACCAUAUGAAUAAGCACCGGCUAACUCCGUG